GGACCGGUAGCUCAAAUGGUCAGAGCAGACGCCUCUUAAGCGUAAGGUUGAGAGUUCGAUUCUCUCCCGGUCCA
rfam:Elusimicrobia bacterium RIFCSPHIGHO2_02_FTLL_57_9 rifcsphigho2_02_scaffold_90744, whole genome shotgun sequence.